GCCAUAUGGAGAGGGAGAACCAGGUGCCUGAGGGACAUCGAGCUUUCCCAUGUCUUCUUCCUUCCAUUCAACGUUGUUAAGAUUUUGAAGAUUUUUGGCGAUCUGAACUCGUGUGACAUGGACCCUCUGCAACGGACUCUUGGCUUACAUCAACCAUUUUGUUGACCAAGUACCUGUAUUGCGGCAUGAUCCAAGGAGUGGAUCACUGCAUAUAUCCUGACAUGACUGGGUAAGUCACCUUAUUGUAGCAAUUCAAGCAUUUGUCAAUGAACCUUGGCAAGUGUAGUUCAGUGAUGUGGUCUUGCCAUGCUCAGCUCUGUUUAUUAUGCAUCAACGGCCAUCAAUGAUAAGUAAUAAUAUAUUUAGUAAAUAUUAUGAUGUGCAACGCCAACCAUUGGAGUGAUUUAAUGCUUCCAAUUAUGCAUUGUAUAUAUUCAAAUUAUGCACAUGUGAUUUAACGCUUCCAAUUAUGCAUUGUGUAUAUUCAACCAUUGGAGACUUGAAGUAGGAAUUAGUGGAGAAUAGGAAGGUGGAUAGUACAUGGGAACCAAUCAAAUACGUGUAGGUAUGACAUGGUGCUUUUUUUAAUCUCUUGCCGAUGUCAAUAUUUUUCUACAGGUACAUAUAUACAACUGAAUCACAGAAAAAAAUUGAUUAGGUACACCAUAGAAUAGUCUCACAUCUUGGUUUAUUUACUACCCUGUUUAAAUAUCAACCAACAUGCAUGUCAAAUUUAUAAUUUGUUAAUUGCUUGCCUCAAGGCAAUAUAUAUAUAUUCAAUCACUGAGGAUGCAGAAUAAAUUAUUAUUCACAUGUGUGUGUGUGUACUUGGACAGAAACACUCCCAUACCUGAGGUCUCAGUUAAUGUACUGAUGUUGAAUUCUUCUGUCACUCCUGAUACAAAGCUAUAGCUAUACUUCCAUUUGCCAAGAUGAUAAAAUUGGUAAAAUACAGUGAUUUAGUUACUUUCAGAUUUUGGUAUUUUCUGAGAAGUGCUCCACAAAUAUGAACUAAACAAGCUUGUAUUUUCUCUACUCCUAAUGUCUCAGUUGGUAGUCUCGCCUCACCCACCACAUCUCACCACUCCUAUCUUUCGCCCACCACUUCCAUUUGCCACUGAAAUGCUGCUAUUUUAAGAAUUCAAGAGAUUGCCUUUUCAUUUUGUAAAAUAUUCCUGUUUCAUUGUACCAUCUGAAGUGACCAAGCAUGAUCAUGGUUUGCCAUGUAUGAUACAACGAAGUCAUUUUAUUAAGCUGGCAUUAGUAAUUUUGCAUUUUACAUGAUUCGUGUGCAAGUUUGAACGUUAAUAUUAAGUUUAUAAUACUGGCACAGUCUGUUAUUGUUAUCUUCUUGGGAGUACUUGAGAAGGCGCGGCGGGGAAGGUGGGGACACGCCAUGGCAGAGGCCAGUGGCAAACCUACGUGUAAGCCCUGAGGUCCGGGGAAGGUAGCUUUAUUUGGCAAUGCCAAUGAUCAAGUUAGGGAUGCACAAGUCAACCAUGAGAUGUGAGUCACACGGCCAUCUUUCUUUUCCUCAGAAAUUUGUCUCUCCAGUAACAUGGCUCCUUAACAGAACCAACUAUGGUUUGCUAAAUUUAUUUGGAUGGAGGGGUGAUAUUUCCUUUCUUUACAAUAGAUAUAUAUUUAUUUCCCUCUCUAUCCAUGGGCGUUAAUAUAUUUAUUGUAACAAGGUCGGAGACUGAUGUGGAUGCGCAAGGGCAGCGCUGGCCUCUGCCUAGAAGGGCAAUCACAGUGUACAGAGCUCUAGCAGCACUACGCCGUCAUCCUCUGCCUCACCCCGGCCGCAUGAAUUUCAAGAGAUGGUGAGAGUAUCUCUGCAAAUUGUGUAUUUUUUAAUUUAGACCUUUUUGCUCUAAGUGCCAUUGCACGAUUUCGACUUGGCGGUGAUAUUUCUCAAAUGCUGCAAAUUCAAUCUUAAGUUAAAAAUAAAUAACACUGCGUAAUUUAGUAAUGGGAAAUCUACAAGUUCUUAACCAUCCUUGAUUUGAUUAAGUAAGUAUCUGAGAGACAGUAGGUGGAUAUAUUACUAUAAAUGCUUAAACUUUUUAGCCUGUAGCGCUUCCUAAUCAUAAUACUUAUGUAUACUUUUCGGCUCCUACUGAGUUAACCCUGCUACAUCUGUACAUCUGCCUUUGGGUGGUUUUCCCCUUCCUUACAUAUAUGUAGUUCUGUAUUUCCAAGCUAUUGUUAUUGUACUAGACUGAGUGGUUGGGUACGCAUCCCUUUGUUUCGGACAAUUACAGCAAGGAAGUAGGAGGAAGAAGAAAUGCAGGCGACCUCAUGAAAGUCACAGCAGCAAAGAUCCACAGGUGAGCAAUCUUGGUUCCUCUGCUUCUGCACUGCAUAUAUAUUUAUUUUCUAGAAAUCUUCUCUUUUUUGCAAUUUCUGUUAUUUUGCUUACUACAAGUAACAUGAAGAUGCCAUAUGAUUUUGUUCUGUUUGUGAAGAUGGAGAAGUCAGAGGAGGAACCAUGAUUUUUGAACAAGCAUUAGUUUGUGGCUCAUGGAUGAAGAUUGCAAGUACUACUUUGUAACUAAUUUAGCUAAUCGCUCACCAAGUAGGUGAUUUAGCUAAUCGCUCACCAAGUAAUUAAUUUUUAAUCUGAAGUUGUAUAUUGACUGUAGGACAAUAGCAACUCAGUUUUCAACAGCUGCAAAAUACUGAAAUGAUGCUAUUUUAAGAAUUGAAGAGAUUGCAUUUUCAUUUUGUAAAAUAUUCCUGUUUCAUUGUACCAUCUGAAGUGACCAAGCAUGAUCAUGGUUUGCCAUGUACUCCCUCCGUUCGGAAUUACUCGUCCAAGAAAUGAAUGUAUCUAGAUGUAUUCUAGUCGUAGAUACAUCCAUUUUUAUCCAUUUUUGUGACAAGUAAUUUCGAACGGAGGGAGUAUGAUACAACGGAGUCAUUUUAUUAAGCUGGCAUUAGUAGUUUUGCAUUUUACAUGAUUCGUGUGCAAGUUCGAACGUUUGUCGAAUAAUACUAAUAUUAAGUUUAUAAUACUGGCACAGUCUGUUAUUGUUAUCUUCUUGGGAGUACUUGGAAGGCGUGGCGGGGAAGGUGGGGAAACGCCAUGGCAGAGGCCAGUGGCAAACCUACGUGUAAGCCGUGAGGUCCGGUGACCCACAACUUUUUUAUAGCACCCCUUUGUUUUUCCAUAAUUUACUCAUUAGUCCUUGUAACUUGAGAGGGUUGACCCCACAGAUUUCUAAUGACCUCACAGGGUAUUCUUGCUGGCGUCGUCGCUAGCAGAGGCGCAUGGUCGACAGGAAGAGCCGGGGCAUUGACACUUUUCGUGCUACCAACACUACAUACCAGCGUGAGUGAAUGUUAUAGUGGCCUUAGAUGCCCUAUCAAAUUCUUGCUUGACUUUUUGGUUUUGCAUGCUUGGAUGUAUAUUUCAGUUCCUGCAUGAUAUUUCUCAUGUGGAGUUGAAACCACGUUCGUCCAAUAGGAAAUAAUCAUAUCUUUCACUCUGAAAUCAUAUUGCAUAUAGAGUGAUGAUAUGUUCUUGUGCGAAUUACUGCACACAUAUACAUUUAGUUACCUGAAAAGGUCUCACAAUUGGGCUCCUACAAGUAACACUAUCACUCGCUUGUAGUGUUUGCAAAUGGUGAUAAUUGUCAUACUACUCCGUAACAGCCUUACUCGAAUCAGCCUUGACCUUGUAUAAUAUACAUAGUGAUUUGGUGCAUGGUAUUUUUUAGUGAAUUUGAUCAAGAUUUUGUUAUUUUAAGUACAUUUGUACAUUCCGUUGUUUAUUUAAAUAAAUUUCCCAGUAAGUUGAUUUUCCAGCAUGGUCAUAAUGUUGACAUUAUGAAUUGAUUUGUGAAGCACAAAAACACAAUAACAGUUGGGAGGGCUGCUUUAUAUCCCUAGACCCCCACCCACACCUGACCGCCAUCUCCCUCUUUCCUCGGUAUCAUAACCUGAUGCGACGUUGGCGGCGCAG
rnacentral:lncRNA from 1 species